GCACCAGUGGCCUAGUGGUAGAAUAGUACCCUGUCACUGUACAGACCCGGGUUCGAUUCCCGGCUGGUGCA
rnacentral:tRNA from 1 species